CUCCCCCCUUCCCACCCACUAUACCAACAGCGCAACAGCGUCGUAAACCCCAACGGACACGGUGUGCAACAUAACAGUUGAUGAUCAAAAACGUUUUGCAGCAGAUGAACAGGCGAAAAGCGUCGGAAUGCAAAGUGACACUACUUAUAUGAAGAUGUCAAAAGAGAGUCCGCAGGGGGAAUGACAGCGUGAUUAACCAGAAUGAGGCCUAAGUCAAGAGCAACGGAGACCUCUGGGAAAUUAAGGCACCAAUUUUCACUGUCAAGAUCAACUGUGAUAGGCCACCAUAUCCCUAGCAACACGCAAUCCUCUAGUCUGCACCUUCACGCACAAAACCUAAUUUGGCUGCACAGCAUUAUCCUGUCUCUAUCUCUAAAUCGGCUGAAGGAGGCCUCUGGAAUGGGGUUUGUACAAUAUACUUGUUUGCUCGCUUUGAACAGAACACAAUUCCCAUGCAGUAGGCAGCCACUUAGAAUCCUGUUUAGUACAGGUCACCACAAGCCCUACUGUUUGGUUCCUUAGUUGAUGAGUGUUGGGCUCAGGAGAGAUCAGGAGGGGAAGGUGAGUUUGUUCUCAGUUUUCCAGCUGGUUGGGGCUGAGCUACUAGGUGAUGUGUUUUCAUGUGCAUGGCAUGGCAAGUGAGAGUCACAUUUUUUGCAUCUCUGAGUUCUCAGCCUCCAGCCUAAAAGACUCAUCUAUGCAUUUUAUUAUACAGAACAUAUGUCCAGUUACUGCAUCAGAGAAUAUAAUUUCACAGAAGAAACAUUUUUACAGUGAUGAGAAAAAGUAUUUUUUUUUCUUCAUUUCUUGUUCAAAACCGAUCAGUUAGAUUAAAGCACUUUUCUGAAUGAAAUGUAUUUACAUCUUAUACAGAUUUUAUUUUAUGCAGCUGUGUAGUGCCAUGGUCAAAAAAGUCAUAAGAAAACUUUGAAAUAUGUAAGGUCUUCUUUAUUGAUACAAGGUCAUUGUCUAAAAACAUAUUUAAAAGAGUUGAGUACUUAUUACAUUAAAGCAAUGACUUGUGCCUUAAAAGCAAACAUCUCCACAAAGGUUAUGAUUUUAACAUUAAUCUAAAGAGGUAGAAUGUGUGUGGAGUGGAGUAGCCUGAAAACACAGGACAUUGGCAAAAAGUACAAGUACAACAAUAGUACAAGUUGACACCUCAAACAAGAUGCAUAGAAAUUAUAAUGAUAGCAUAAUCUUUCUUUUAUUUGCCUUAAAACUUAUACUUCGACCUCAAUUGGGCAGAUAAUCAUUUUCCUUGUUCCAAAAUAGAAUUUUGUCUGCUAAACUCAGUGCAGCUGGGAAGAUCCAAACACAAUCCAGGCCCCCAGCUAUUCUCCAACUUGGUACUCCAAAAUCCUAUAAUGUAAUAAUUCUCUUUUUAAUCAGUUUGCUUAGCAUCCUUUUAACACACUGAUCUUUUUAAAGUCAAGAGCAUAGAUUAUAGACAAAAGUCUCAUUUUCACUAAGUCUGAUAUUCUGACAGGUGUUCCACAUCUUCUUCCUUGUUUUUUUCUAGUUUUCUCCUUCUGUAUAUUUCUCACUGCUUAUGAGCAACUUCAUUAGAAGUGCCUGGCUCUGAUCUUCCUUACAUCUAAUAUUUCUGCUUCUUGAUUCUAGACAAAAUUCUGUUCCCCUGAGGAUUCAAUUUAAUUCUAUUUUCUGCUAUAUGGAUAUCUAGGUCA